rnacentral:rRNA from 1 species
UACAGAGGGUGCAAGCGUUGUCCGGAAUCACUGGGCGUAAAGGGCGCGUAGGCGGCCCGAUAAGUAGGGGGUGAAAUCUUGCGGCUCAACCACAAGGCUGCCUUCUAGACUGUCGGGCUUGAGCACAGUAGAGGCGAGUGGAAUUCCCGGUGUAGCGGUGAAAUGCGCAGAUAUCGGGAGGAACACCAAUGGCGAAGGCAGCUCGCUGGGACGGUACUGACGCUGAGACGCGAAAGCGUGGGGAGCAAACAGG